UCGGGUUUCUCAUUCGGAUCUUCCGCUUCUUCCCAAUCUUCAUCUUCAUCCCCAUUUUCAUUCGGGUCAUCCCCAUCACCCGCUUUCUCAUUCGGAUCUUCAUCCCCUUUCUCCUCCACCACAAACCCUACCUCCGCCGCUUCUUCUUCUCCAUUCUCAUUCAAACAAUCGCGUUGAACUUCUUUGCUUGGGCUUGUAAAAGCAAAACCCUGAAUCUAAAAUCUCAAACCCCUCGCCUCAUUUUCAAAAGCAAAACAAAAACACCACUCACCACUCUAGAGCGAGCGCGCAACAAUGUCGGGUUUCUCAUUCGGAUCUUCCGCUUCUUCCCAAUCUUCAUCUUCAUCCCCAUUUUCAUUCGGGUCAUCCCCAUCACCCGCUUUCUCAUUCGGAUCUUCAUCCCCUUUCUCCUCCACCACAAACCCUACCUCCGCCGCUUCUUCUUCUCCAUUCUCAUUCGCUCCCUCUUCCUCUUCUUCCACUUCUCUUUUCUCUGCUCCUACCUCCACUUCUUCUUCCUUCAACAUCGCAUCUUCAUUCGGCGCGGCUUCCUCAUUAUUCGGCUCCUCCUCCG
rnacentral:lncRNA from 1 species